rnacentral:rRNA from 1 species
AUGGAGAUCGCGGUGGGCGCGCUGUCGGGCAUGGUGGAGGCGCUGCCGGGCAAGCUGGGCGAGCUGCUGCAGCAGGAGUACGAGCUGCUCUCCGGCGCCCGCGGGGACGUUGCCUUCUUCCAGGACGAGCUGAGGACCAUGAACGCCGCCGUGCUCCGCUGCGAGGCCCUCGAGGAGCCCGACGUCCAGACCAGCAGCUGGAUCGCCCAGGUCCGCGACCUCGCCUUCGACAUCGAGGACUGGGUCGACCUCUUCGCCCACCGCGUCGACGCCGGCACCCACGACGCCACCUCCCACCGGUUCUCCCGCUGGAUCCGCCGGCUCACCACCAUCCCCGACCGCCACGUCAUCGCCACCGAGCUCAAGGAGCUCCGGGCGCGCGUCGUCGAGGUGAGCGAGCUGCGGAAGCGCUACAGCCUCGGCCCGCAGAUGCCGUCCCAUCACGCGCCCGCCGUCGACCCCCGCCUCUUCGCCUUCUACGCCGACAGCGCCGACCUCGUCGGCAUGGACGGGCCGCGGGACGAGGUGGCGGGGAUGGUGACCGGACAGGGCUCGGGCGGGCUCAAGGUCGUGUCCAUCGUCGGGAUGGCCGGCUCCGGGAAGACGACGCUUGCCAGGGAGGUGUACCGAUUGGUCAACGCGGGGUUUACGUGCCGCGCAUCGGUUUCGGUCGGCCGGAGCUCGGACGUCGCCAAGGUGCUCGGCGAUAUGCUGUCCCAAGUGGACAGCAGGGGACGAGGUGAUGCUGGCGAUGUGAAUCAAUUGAUUGGGAGGCUGAGGGAGCAUCUGCAAGAUAAGAGGUAUCUUCUAAUGAUUGAUGACCUGUGGAGUGUUCAAACCUGGGAGAUAAUCAAACACUGUUUUCCAGCGAACAAUCUCGGGAGUCGGAUAAUCACUACAACAAGAAUUGAGGCUGUUGCGAAAGCAGGUGCAGGUGACCAUGUUUACAAGACAUGUCUUCUUGGCAAAGACGAUGCCGAAACCUUGUUUACCCGAAGAGCUUUUGGGAGUGUGGGUGGAUGCCCUGCCCAUUUGAAGGAUGUCUCAGCUCAGAUCAUGAAAAAGUGUGGUGGUUUGCCACUCGCUAUAGUGAGCGUGGGUGGCUUAUUAGCCAGUAAGGCGCGCACAAGAGAUGAAUUUGAGCGGUUAGGACUGGAAUGGCGCACAAAUUCAGAGCUACAAGGGAUGAAACAGAUCAUCAAACUCAGCUACAGUGAUCUUCCUGCCAAUCUCAAGACAUGUCUAUUACACCUAAGCAUAUUUCCUGAGAACCAUGAGAUCGAAAUAGAGCGCCUUGCGAGGCGUUGGGUUGCAGAAGGGUUCAUCAAUGAACAGCGUGGCACAAGCUUGGAGGAAACAGCGAGAAACUACAUCAACGAGCUCAUUGGCAGAAACUUAAUCCAACCAUCACAGAUGAAUCAUGAUGGCACCCAUAGGAGCUAUGUUCUUCAUCCAGUAAUACACGAUUUCAUCAUUUGCAAGUCCAUGGAAGACAACUUUGUUGCUCUGGUACAUGCUCAACAGCAAGAUGUUCCACCUGGUAAUGGCACUGUCCGACGGCUAUCUUUGUUGAAUAGCAGUAAGCAUGAUCAGGCCACUGCACAAAUCGAUGGGGCAAAAGUAUCUCGUGCUCGCUCGAUCACCGUAUUUUCUCACACCGGUCGCACGCCUCGUCUGAAUGAACUCAGUGUACUGCGGGUUCUUGACCUUGAAGGCUGUCAAGGUCCACUGUGCCUUGAUGGUCUCUACAAAUUGCUGCUUCUGAGGUACUUGAACCUCAAGGGAACAGAUGUCAGUGAGCUCCCAGAACAGAUUGGGGAGCUAAGAUGCCUGGAGACAUUGGAUGUGAGAUCCACAAAGGUGAAAGUACUACCUCCUAGCAUUGUCAAGCUGGAAAAGUUAAUGCAUUUGCUCGCCGGGAACGCCAAGUUGCCGAGUGGGAUAACCAAGAUGAAGUCACUGCUGACACUUUCGUGCAGCAAUAUCGGGAAGAGCGCUGAUGCGGACAUCAUUCAAGAGCUCCGUAACAUGGUAAGCUUGAGGGAAAUGGAAUUAUUUUGUAAUGUUCCUCGGACGUCUGAGGAUAAGAAACAAGUCACAUUUCCGAGUGAUGGAUUUCAGAGUCUUAAGAAGCUUUCGAUAAGGUGCAGCUUGCCAUCAGUGACCUUUGUGACCGAUGCUUUAUCGAAGGUUGAAGUGCUUGAGCUAAAGUUUGAAGAAGGCCUUUCAGAGGAGUCGAGUGGUGUGUCUGGUAUAGAGCAUCUGUCAGGCCUGAAGCAUAUGAUCAUUGAGUUUUCACAGCAUGAUGCGGGUGCUGCAGCAGCAACUGCUGCAGUCAAGACGACUGCUGAGAAGGUCCAUCCUAAUUGUCAAGUGAUCAUCGUGAAUGUUGAUAAGAAGACCAACGAAUAG